UUAUUGAUAACUAACAAUCAUAUAUGGACCCAUAUUUCAUAAGGAUAUGAACAGAAUGGAUACCGUUACAAAUUGAUACUAAGUGUUUUGGGUCUAAAUAUUUAUCCACUGCCUUGAUCAGACACUUGGUUUAAAUUGCCUAUAACAAUAUCUUUAGAUAUAUGAGAAAGCUCCAGGAAUCCUUCCCAAACCCUCCAAUGCUCCAUCGGAUGGGUAAAAGAUCCCUACACAUCCAUGGCAUCUUUUUUCUUCAAAGAACAGCUACAUAACAGGAAAGAGGGUAAAGGGUCUUUCUCCUACACCAUGAAGUUCUUCCUAAUCACCACUGUGUGCCCUGAAAUGCCAAGAAACUGCCAAGGAUAUUCUCUGUUGAAUGUGGGCAUGACUGUCCACCUCUUGUUAGACUGCCCAUGCUUCCAAGCAUACCACAAUUCUCUGGCAUCCGCAGGUUAAUCACAAAGACUCUGAGGAUCCCUGCUGGGCCUGGCCAUCACCAGAGGUCCAAGCACCAGCUCAGCAGCAGAACCCAAAGAAUCAGAGACUGCUACCUUAAUUCCAAGGCCUCACAGGCAGGGACUAUAAACUGCUAGAACUUCAAAACCAGGACAGGAAGUGCCUGCUCAGCUCAAGGGACACAGGAAGGGUGGGAACAGCCUCAAUGUGGGAACUACAACGGAGACUGGAAGAACAGUGGCCAAAUGCAAUAAAUAAAUUACUA